CAGUUGGAGGCGCCUAUUACGAACGACGGGUCUACUGAGUGAGGCUAUGGAAUGCACAAAUCUCUAUUAUAAAACUCUAGUAAAGGCUGAUCAGCGUAACUUUACAGCGGAUGCUUGGAUGAUUUUUAUUUAGUUUAUUUGAGUUAGUUAGUUAGUUAGUAGUUUAUGUUUUUAGAUACAUUUUAUGGAUUUUUAUCAAUUCGCAAAAACAGGACUGAUCCAAUCGGUCCCUUGAUUGGAGUUGCAGAACCAUCAAACUUAGAUAUGCCUGAAGGUCGCUUGAAUAAAUGGCAGCGAAUCCAACAACUGCGGCAGCAAUUCUGGAAUAGAUGGCAAAGGGAGUAUUUGUGCGAACUGCAAACCAGAUACAAGUGGACCAAAAUAAAGGACAACGUAAAGGAGGGAGCAUUGGUUCUAAUGAAGGAGGAUAACACGCCCCCGCAUUUGUGGAAGCUGGGACGCAUUACAAGGGUGUUCCCGGGCGAGGACAGAUUGAUCUGGGUAGCGGAUGUGAAGACAAAGAGUGGUGAGUUUAAACGUCCUGUUCAUAAAUUAGCUCUUCUUCCAGUUAUAGAUCCGUAGCAUCAACCAGGCCGGGAGGAUGUUCCAUUUCGAUGGAACGAGGAAGAUAUGCGGUCUGAGGAACGAGCGAGAAGGACGGGCUGAGGAAGGAGCGAGAGGUGCAGGGUGAGGAGCGAACGGAAGGCUGUCCGAGUGGUAUCUGUUUUGGCGACAAUUGUCUGGAACGGCGGCACCCACAAUUGUUGUUCAAUCACAUCGACACCGGCCAGAAUUCCGCGAAACCCACCGUAGAAUGCAAGCGGGCGGCUUGUGUGGUCGGACGGGCCUGAGAGGCAAGCGAGUUGCUGCUGUUCGCUGGACCAGGUUAAGGGGGAAAAGAGAGGGAAUGAAGAGAAGGAGAGAGUGAGAGAGGGAAUUAUGAAAUUUAUUUUGUGACCGAGUGGAGUUGGUCAGUCUGAUGAAAAACGCGAAGCAGUUAAGUCGUAAUUAAUAAAUAUUGUGCAUUCAGUUGAAACCGUGUCCACUGAGUUGAAAUAUCCGCUGAGAUAUCACAGGGGUGUAUCUCGAGGACCGUCAGUACAGAUGAAUCGGUAUUUCUGGUCACUCUGCCCGGUAAAGUCGGUAAUAAUUCACCUCCUAAAUACAUACAUCUUGAGACUAGACUUCGUUAUCGGUCCAUUUUGUGUUUUGUGUCGUCCUGUGUCGUUCGUCAAAAAUUUUCUGUGUUCUUAACAAAAAAAAAGACUCGAGGCCAACUACGUGCGGAAGCUGCAUCAAAAGCCGAAUCCCGCCAACAGGCAGCGAUGGUUGGAGGUGGUGGUGUAACCCAACCGGCAGCGAUUGCAGGAAGUGGUGGUGUUACAACCCGGCAGGCAGCGCGGGCUGCAGCUGCUCGUGUUGGAACAGCAGAAGCAGCAGAAGCAUCUGUUGGAACAGCAGAAGCUGUAGACGCAGCAGAAACAGCAUGUUGUGGGCAGCCGUGCCGACCUCUGGACUUGCCGUGGUAGUUGUGCUCCCACUGAUCAAUGUCCAGGGGACGACAGUGUGUCACGCACACUGUCGUACACAACCUACGCGCGGGCCGCUUAGUGUGUGUCGUGUGCGCUCGAACAAGAGAGGUGUUGCGAGCAGCCGGUCGUGCAGGGCUCCCGCCAGGACACGGUACGGCUGGCGCGGCCGGGUAUUUUUAAUGUGUAAUUGUGCUUGUUAAUAUUUAUUAUUGUGUACUAUAUUAGUGGUAAAUAAAAGUACCUCAGCGAGAAGCCAAACACACAACACUGCAGAAGCAGCAGAAGCAUCUAUGCAUUCGUUCAUAUGCCCUCGUUGCCAGGCGCCAGCUGUGAUGCCUAAACGCAGGCUUUUUGAUGUACAGCGGUACAACGAGAUGAGAGACAACAUGGCCCAAGCUCAGCCAGCGAUGGUUGCCCGCAGCAUAGCAACAGCCCAAGCAGUACCACUAGGAGGUAGAGCUAUGAACGUUCGCCAACCAAAUCCGCCAGCUCACGUAUCCACCAAAAUUGAGUUUCGUUUCAAAAAAAGGAUGUACUAGACGCGCUGCAAAUGAAUGUAAUAAAAUACAUUAGAUCGUGCUUAUAUUUAUUAUUGUUAAUUUCAGAUCCCGAGAUGCCGCCUAAAUGGCACUGCUACAGGCUGGUGCAUUUUCUGCAACCGUAGAUGCCUCGCUGGCUGACAAUGACUUCAUAGAACGCUCAGAAGAAAAUGUGAUGGGGCCUCUAAUUGCCUCUUCUACGCGGUGGCCCGCAGCAGAGGGAAGGGAAUUCGCAAAAACAAGACGGUCUAUACACAAAACAAAUUAAUGAUUUUCCUUUUUUGCAAGCUUUCCUCCAAACAGGAUAAAAAGGAUUUGAUCCGACUUGUAUCGGGGCACCCCAUGCUCUGGCAGACCAAUGACCCAUUCUAUAAUAAUAGAAGAAAGACUGCCGGAGCAUGGGGGGAAAUAGCCAGGCAUCUGGCGACCACCGUGGCCAGAUGCCAGAAAGUUUGGCACCAGCUCCGGUACAAGUACCGAGCGAUCAGGGUACGUGAGCUGGAAGCGGUCAAUAAGACAGGAUGUAAGUAAGAGUUUUCUAGACGCGCUGCAAAUGUACGUAAUAAAACACAUUAAAUCUUGCUUAUAUUUAUUGAUUAUAAUUUCAGAUCCCCCUUCGCCUCC